rnacentral:rRNA from 1 species
AGAGUUUGAUCCUGGCUCAGAUUGGAAUGCUGGCGGCAGGCCUAACACAUGCAAGUCGAGCGGAUGAAGGGAGCUUGCUCCUGGAUUCAGCGGCGGACGGGUGAGUAAUGCCUAGGAAUCUGCCUGGUAGUGGGGGAUAACGUCCGGAAACGGGCGCUAAUACCGCAUACGUCCUGAGGGAGAAAGUGGGGGAUCUUCGGACCUCACGCUAUCAGAUGAGCCUAGGUCGGAUUAGCUAGUUGGUGGGGUAAAGGCCUACCAAGGCGACGAUCCGUAACUGGUCUGAGAGGAUGAUCAGUCACACUGGAACUGAGACACGGUCCAGACUCCUACGGGAGGCAGCAGUGGGGAAUAUUGGACAAUGGGCGAAAGCCUGAUCCAGCCAUGCCGCGUGUGUGAAGAAGGUCUUCGGAUUGUAAAGCACUUUAAGUUGGGAGGAAGGGCAGUAAGUUAAUACCUUGCUGUUUUGACGUUACCAACAGAAUAAGCACCGGCUAACUUCGUGCCAGCAGCCGCGGU